rnacentral:rRNA from 1 species
UCCAGACUCCUACGGGAGGCAGCAGUGGGGAAUAUUGGGCAAUGGGCGCAAGCCUGACCCAGCAACGCCGCGUGAAGGAAGAAGGCUUUCGGGUUGUAAACUUCUUUUAUCAGGGACGAAACAAAUGACGGUACCUGAUGAAUAAGCCACGGCUAACUACGUGCCAGCAGCCGCGGUAAUACGUAGGUGGCAAGCGUUAUCCGGAUUUACUGGGUGUAAAGGGCGUGUAGGCGGGCUUGCAAGUCAGAUGUGAAAUUCCAGGGCUCAACCCUGGAACUGCAUUUGAAACUGUAGGUCUUGAGUGCUGGAGAGGUUGACGGAAUUCCUAGUGUAGCGGUGAAAUGCGUAGAUAUUAGGAGGAACACCAGUGGCGAAGGCGGUCAACUGGACAGCAACUGACGCUGAGGCGCGAAAGCGUGGGGAGCAAACAGGAUUAGAUACCCCAGUAAU